rnacentral:misc_RNA from 1 species
GUAGGUGAACCUGCGGAAGGAUCAUUAAUAGAGCAAAAGACAGGCAGCGCCCCAUAGAAGCUUGCUUCGUGGUGGGCUACCCUACUCUGGUAGGGUUUAGAGCCGUCGAACCUCUCGAAGAAGUUCGGUCUUGAACUCCACCCUUGAAUAAAUUACCUUUGUUGCUUUGGCAGGCCGCCUAGCGCCAGCGGCUUCGGCUGUUGAGUGCCUGCCAGAGGACCACAACUCUUGUUUUUAGUGAUGUCUGAGUACUAUAUAAUAGUUAAAACUUUCAACAACGGAUCUCUUGGUUCUG